CUGUGGAGUGGCAGUGAGGAGGGCAACCACCAGUAGCUGGGCUUGACUAGGACAGAAAGAGCUGGAGAAGCCAUCUGAUAGCUUUGCUGGGGUGCUCUGUGUACUACGGAGUAGAGCAACCUGGCUCUUUUGGGUGUAUACAGUUUCACCUAGCCCAGGAUGACCAUAGAUUUUAUGUGCAGUUAUUGGCCUUGGACAUCUAUCCUCUUUUACCUUCUCUGUGUAGUGCCGAGGAUCAAACCCUGGCUUCAUGCAUGCCGGGUUUUUAUUAAGGCCAAUUAGGAUUUGUGCAACAACAGUCUCCUUGAGAUUAAAACGUUCCAUCCAGGUCAAUGCAAGCUCCUUAAGCAGGGAGGUCAACAACAAGAAAAGUUUCAAGAAUUCCCUGAAACUGACCAGAUUCCCUGGUAAACAAUGGAAGCUGAGAGUGCCUCUCAGAGAAAUGAAGCUGUGCUACUCAGACUUUGGGAGGAGAAAAGCUGCAAAACAGACUUGGAGACCAGCAAAGCUACCAGGCAGAGGUUUAGGCCAAUAGAGGUGCCUGGGAAGAAGACUCUCCACCUUGUUAAGCUGCCACCCAUGCUGGGGUGGACUUUAGUGAUGCAGCUGUCUUUAAGUCAUUUCUGCUUCUGUCAGCAACCCCAAUAAAA